GGACUACCAGGGUUUCUAAUCCCGUUUGCUCCCCUGGCCUUCGUGUCUCAGUGUCAGGAACUGUCCAGAGACCCGCCUUCGCCACUGGUCUUCCUUACGAUAUCUACGCAUUUCACUGCUACACCGUAAAUUCCAGUCUCCUCUCCAGUCCUCAAGCACCGCAGUAUGGAAUGCAGUUUCGGAGUUAAGCUCCGAAAUUUCACACCCCACUUACGGCGCCACCUACACACCCUUUACGCCCAAUGAAUCCGAACAACGCUUGAGACCUCUGUAUUACCGCGGCUGCUGGCAC
rnacentral:rRNA from 1 species